UGUUCAGCUCGUGUCUUGAGAUGUUGGGUUAAGUCCCGUAACGAGCGCAACCCUUGUCCUUAUUUACCACCACCUUGGGUGGGCACUCUAAGGAGACUGCCGGUGACAAACCGGAGGAAGGUGGGGAUGACGUCAAGUCAUCAUGGCCCUUACGGCCAGGGCUACACACGUGCUACAAUGGUCGGUACAAAGGGUUGCCAAGCCGCGAGGUGGAGCUAAUCCCAUAAAACCGAUCGUAGUCCGGAUCGCAGUCUGCAACUCGACUGCCUGAAGUCGGAAUCGCUAG
rnacentral:rRNA from 1 species